rnacentral:lncRNA from 1 species
GGUUCUCACUAAGUUGCUGAGGGUUUCCCUAAGUUGCCAGCCUCAAAUUUGUGAUCCUCCAGUCUCAGCCUCCUGAGGUCCUAGGAUUACAAGUGUGCACUGCCACACCUGAUUGAAGAUUUCUUUUAUUUGACACCCAAAGCAUGAUUCAUAAAAGAAUAAAUUGAAAAACUGGACUUUUCUUCAAAAGAUACUGUUAAGAGAAUGAUGAAAAGAGAAGCCACAGAUGGGGCAGGAGUGGAAUAUUUGCAAAUCAUAUCCAGAAUAUAUGAAGAACUUUCAAAAGCUAAUUAAGAAAACAUGUAGCCCAAUCAAAAACAAGUGAAAAUAGGGCUGGGGAUAUAGCUCAGAUGGUAAAGUGCUUGCCUCUCAGGCACAAGGCCCUGGGUUCAAACCCCAGCAUCACAAAAAAAGGGAGAUAUUUGAACAAUUUAGACAUCUCCUCUAAGGGACUGUAUAGAUGAUGAAUAAGCUCAUGGAAGACAAGCAUCAUCAGUCGGUUAGAAAACCCAGGUCAUCACGGUGAGAGCCCCUGCACCUGUGAGGAUGGUGGCGUUUCAAAGCUGACUACCCCAGUGGUGGCAGGAGUGUGGGGAGGCUGGAGCCCUCAGGCCGUGAGAAUGGGAGCUGUAGGAGUGCUUUGGAAGGCCCUUGGAAGUCCUGAGAGGAGUGAAACUUGGGCUGCGGGGUGGCCUGGAACCCCACCCCAGCCUUGCCCUCCAUCCAGAGGAACACUGGUGUGCCGUGCUCAGGGCAGCUGGGUUCUAGUAGCCCACACAGUGGGGUCAAGUGACUCGGAAAGUAAUAAGCAUGCGGCCACAGCAUGGAGAGACCUAGAACAGCCGCACCAAGAUGGGCCAGAGGGUGAAGCCCUGUGGUCCCCUCACACUGGAUGGGGCA